AUCUCCGAGGUGUCAUUUAUGCACGUUAGAUUUUCGUUCUAAAGGAAUAAUUUUUUAAUUAUCGGUGAUU
rnacentral:tRNA from 1 species